rnacentral:rRNA from 1 species
AUCAACUUUCGAUGGUAGGAUAGAGGCCUACCAUGGUGGUAACGGGUAACGGGGUGUUAGGGCACGACACCGGAGAGGGAGCCUGAGAAACGGCUACCACAUCCAAGGAUGGCAGCAGGCGCGCAAAUUACCCAAUCCCGACACGGGGAGGUAGUGACAAUAAAUAACAAUACGGGGUUCUUUCGGAUCUCGUAAUUGGAAUGAGUACAAUUUAAAUCUCUUAACGAGGAACAAUUGGAGGGCAAGUCUGGUGCCAGCAGCCGCGGUAAUUCCAGCUCCAAUAGCGUAUAUUAAAGUUGUUGCAGUUAAAAAGCUCGUAGUUGAAUUUCGGGGUCAGUAGGUUGGUCGUGCCACCGGUACGUACUGGUCUCACUGAUUCCUCCUUCCUGAUGAGCUGUAAUGCCAUUAAUUUGGUGUUGCAGGGAAUCUGGACUGUUACUUUGAAAAAAUUAGAGUGUUUAAAGCAGGCUAACGCUUGAAUACAUUAGCAUGGAAUAAUGAAAUAGGACGUUCGAUCCUAUUUUGUUGGUUUCUAGGAUUGACGUAAUGAUUAAUAGGGAUAGUUGGGGGCAUUAGUAUUCAAUUGUCAGAGGUGAAAUUCUUGGAUUUAUUGAAGACUAACUACUGCGAAAGCAUUUGCCAAGGAUGUUUUCAUUAAUCAAGAACGAAAGUUAGGGGAUCGAAGACGAUCAGAUACCGUCGUAGUCUUAACCAUAAACUAUGCCGACUAGGGAUCGGAUGAUGUUAAUUUUUUAAUGACUCAUUCGGCGCCUUACGGGAAACCAAAGUGUUUGGGUUC